UACGUAGGGUGCAAGCGUUGUCCGGAAUUAUUGGGCGUAAAGAGCUCGUAGGCGGUUUGUCGCGUCUGCUGUGAAAACUCGGGGCUUAACCCCGGGCCUGCAGUGGGUACGGGCAGACUAGAGUGCGGUAGGGGAGACUGGAAUUCCUGGUGUAGCGGUGAAAUGCGCAGAUAUCAGGAGGAACACCGGUGGCGAAGGCGGGGUCUCUGGGCCGAUACUGACGCUGAGGAGCGAAAGCGUGGGGGAGCAAACAGG
rnacentral:rRNA from 1 species